rnacentral:rRNA from 1 species
ACUCCUACGGGAGGCAGCAGUGGGGAAUUGUUCGCAAUGGGCGCAAGCCUGACGACGCAACGCCGCGUGGAGGAUGAAGGUCUUCGGAUUGUAAAUUCCUGUUGCCCGGGACGAAAAGCGUCGACCUAACACGUCGACGUCUGACGGUACCGGGUGAGGAAGCCCCGGCUAACUCUGUGCCAGCAGCCGCGGUAAU